UUACGGCCAUAUCACGUUGAAACAUUGGUUCCCGUACGAUCACCGAACUUAAGCAACGUUGAGCCUGAUCAGUACCUCGAUGGGUGACCGGGUGGAAAUACCAGGUGGUGCAAG